GGACCUGACUGCUAUCGGAUUGAUACUAAGCCAUGCGAGUCAUUGUAGCAAUACAAGGCAUACGGCUCAGUAACGCGUAGUCAACCUAACCUAUGGACGGGAAUAACCUCGGGAAACUGAGAAUAAUGCCCGAUAGAACAUUAUGCCUGGAAUGGUUUAUGUUCCAAAUGAUUUAUCGCCGUAGGAUGGGACUGCGGCCUAUCAGUUUGUUGGUGAAGUAAUGGCCCACCAAGACUAUUACAGGUACGGGCUCUGAGAGGAGUAGCCCGGAGAUGGGUACUGAGACACGGACCCAGGCCCUAUGGGGCGCAGCAGGCGAGAAAACUUUGCAAUGUGCGAAAGCACGACAAGGUUAAUCCGAGUGGUUUCUGCUAAAGAAACCUUUUGUCAGUCCUAGAAACACUGAUGAAUAAGGGGUGGGCAAGUUCUGGUGU
rnacentral:rRNA from 1 species